AGGCGACGAUCCCUAGCUGGUCUGAGAGGAUGACCAGCCACACUGGAACUGAGACACGGUCCAGACUCCUACGGGAGGCAGCAGUGGGGAAUAUUGCACAAUGGGCGCAAGCCUGAUGCAGCCAUGCCGCGUGUAUGAAGAAGGCCUUCGGGUUGUAAAGUACUUUCAGCGGGGAGGAAGGGAGUAAAGUUAAUACCUUUGCUCAUUGACGUUACCCGCAGAAGAAGCACCGGCUAACUCCGUGCCAGCAGCCGCGGUAAUACGGAGGGUGCAAGCGUUAAUCGGAAUUACUGGGCGUAAAGCGCACGCAGGCGGUUUGUUAAGUCAGAUGUGAAAUCCCCGGGCUCAACCUGGGAACUGCAUCUGAUACUGGCAAGCUUGAGUCUCGUAGAGGGGGGUAGAAUUCCAGGUGUAGCGGUGAAAUGCGUAGAGAUCUGGAGGAAUACCCGGUGGCGAAGGCGGCCCCCUGGACGAAGACUACGUCAG
rnacentral:rRNA from 1 species